rnacentral:rRNA from 1 species
AAUCAACGCUGGCGGCGUGCCUCAGACAUGCAAGUCGAACGCGAAAGUUCCCUUCGGGGGGAUGAGUAGAGUGGCGCACGGGUGAGUAACACGUAGGUAAUCUACCUUCGGGUGGGGAAUAACCCAGGGAAACUUGGGCUAACACCGCAUAAUGCAGCGGCACCACAUGGUGACAGUUGUUAAAGCGGGGGAUUUUAGGACCUCGCGCCUGAAGAGGAGCCUGCGGCAGAUUAGCAGUUGGUAAGGUAACGGCUUACCAAGGCGACGAUCUGUAACCGGCCUGAGAGGGCGGUCGGUCACGCUGACACUGACAUACGGGUCAGAC